CUCAAAUGGGAAAGCCCGAGCUGCGUGUGCCUGCAAUGAAAUUAUAAAUCCACAUCCCGGAGCAAGCGAGCAGCAGGAGGCACCAGGAACCUCCAUCAGCAGAAGCGCUGGGCUGCAGCAAGGGAUGGGAUUGGGAGUGGAACCGACAAGGCUGGGAGAGCUGUUGGCGUUUCUCCUGACAAAAUCCUGCACAAAGAGAGCCAGUCCAGGUGAAACCACGGCGUUGGACCCAGCUGGUGUUCAGUGCUGAGCCCCGCUCCUUCCCCCUGAGCUCUGCCCUCAGUUUCCUCAGCUGUAAAGUGAAGAAGAUGCUGCCAAGCCCUGCUUGAAAAGCGCUGUCAGACGCAGCAAAUGUCACCCAAUGGCUCAGGUGGUGCUUGGUCAGCUGGCACACAGCACAUCAAGGGCACAGGACACUCUGCAUCAGCUGCCCACUGAGGCCAGGGACCAGCAAGGCUAAGGCCAGCCUGGACUGACCAGUGAUGAGUGGAGAGGAGCAGCAAUUCCACCCUGCAAGUCAGAGCCAAGGAGGGAAUUGGCCUCUGCCAUCCUCAAAGCCCAAUUAACCAAAUCACCACAGCUCAGGAGGCUUCGGCACGAGUGAGAGGAGCGAGAGGAGAACUCCAAAGAGGAAUAGCAAUGAGGAGCCCAGGCUGGCUGUGCUGGACGCUUCCCCAUGUGAGCAUCCCCAGGCUCCAAUGCCUCAGCAGAUCCCCAUGUCGGAGCAGCCCUGGACCUGCAGAACAGCACAUGGCAGAACGGCAGUGAGCCCCUAGACCAUGCCCCACACAAUGACAUGGUGGCUCCCGCUGCUGGCCCUGCGCGUG
rnacentral:lncRNA from 1 species